AGGACGAACGCUGGCGGCGUGCUUAACACAUGCAAGUCGAGCGGUAAGGCCUUUCGGGUACACGAGCGGCGAACGGGUGAGUAACACGUGGGUGAUCUGCCCUGCACUCUGGGAUAAGCCUGGGAAACUGGGUCUAAUACCGGAUAUGACCUGCUCUCGCAGUGGGGGGUGGGUGGAAAGAUUUAUCGGUGCAGGAUGGGCCCGCGGCCUAUCAGCUUGUUGGUGGGGUAAUGGCCUACCAAGGCGACGACGGGUAGCCGACCUGAGAGGGUGACCGGCCACACGUGGGACUGAGACGACGGCCCAGACUCCUACGGGAGGCAGCAGUGGGGAAUAUUGCACAAGUGGGCGAAAGCCUGAUGCAGCGACGCCGCGUGAGGAUGAAGGCCUUCGGGUUAGUAAACCUCUUUCGAGCGAAGGACGAAGCGACAAGUGACGGUACCUGACUAGAAGA
rnacentral:rRNA from 1 species